AUGAAACUUGUGAAUGCAGAAGAGUUUGGGCCAGGGAAGCAGCCAUUGAAAGAAAUUGCAAAAGUUGGUAUCAUGCUGAACAGUGGUGUUUCGACUGAAGAGGUCGUUACACAAUUCACAACUGCAUCAUUCCCUGCUUUGCGAACACCCAUUGCGCAGGCAGCAAUGGUGUCCCUGGUGGAGAGGGAAGGACAUAGCUCCCUGAUAUCACAAGUUUUCGAGCAAGAAACAACAACAGAGCAAAUCAUGACUGGUGUUUUCCGUGCAUUCCUCUCUUUUAUCGAGCUUAAACAUACAACAGUGGAGGAAAUUUUGACACUUUUCUCUCCAUCUGAUUUCCAGUCGGAGCCCUGGCAACAAGAGCAAAUUGCUAUGGCAUCCACCGAGGACAGAAAAUUAGAGACUGUCAAAGUUACCACUCAAGAGAGUAAAAAAGUUUCUAGGAAAGGAACAAUAAUUGUUCGCCGUGAUGAAACUGAAGAAUCAGUUGAAGAAACAAAAACACAAGUAACCACUGAGAGUAAACGGAGGGAAUCAGAAGACAGGCUGACAAUAACGGACAUAACAGAGGACACAACAAUCAAAAAUGCCACCGAUGAUGAAAAAACUAUCGUCUCUCUCACAGAAACAGUUGAUGAAGUUGUUAAUGAGAAAGGUAAAACAAUAAUCAAGAAAAAACGAGGAGAAAAGAAGAAAAAAGUGGUGUUUAAAGAUGAAAUUGAAGAAGAAUUGAUAGAAGAGGUCAUUGACAAACAAAAGAAAACAGUAAUCAAAGGUGUGAAGCCUAAAGAAGCUAAGUUUGAUGAAGAAGUAACUGAGCCUAUCGAGCCUUUGAGUGUACCGUCCUUGAAAACCUUACCUAUAACAAGCUCCCAACAAGUGACUGAAUCAGUUCCUGGCCAGUCUGUUUCUCUAAUUGAUGAUGGACGAAUCUCUGCGGAAACAGCAAGUAUCGAGGUAUCUGUACAGAAAGUGGCAACUCAGCAAAUUGUCGAACAGCAAGAGAAAGAAUCCAAAACAAAAAUUUCCAGUGCCCCAGAGAAGAAAGUAGCCAAGCGGAAAAUGAGUCCAACGGAGCCUUAUUCAAUCUCGCAGCCCAACGUACUGGAUACGAUUGAGCCUCUUCAAAAAGUUGAACAAAUAGGGAAGAAAGCAUCGCCAGCAAUCACACCGAAGGAAGGUUUAAUAGUGGAUGAAGUACAUCCUGACUCGAGUUUCAGCAGUACGCCUGAGUUUGUGAAACCUGAAACUCUAGCGUCCCGUACCUUAACUGAGCUUCACGCGGCUAAAGUUGUAUCUGAGACCGAAGUGUCCAUUAAAGAAGGGACGGUCACGUGCACGAAAUCUCAAACUGCGCAUGCAAAAAAAUCAGUCAUCACACAAGAAGGUGUUGAGGUGACUGAAAUCCUUGAGGGAGAGUCGGAAGUAGUUCUUCCAUGUGAAGCCAAGUCGAAUGAGCUGAAGCCUAAUGUCGAGAUCCCAGCAGUUGAGUCUGUUGUCAUUAGUGAAGUCUUCCCAGAAAUGAAGCCCGAUAAUUACCAACCAGAUCUUAAAGUGGCCACGGAAGUUGCAUCGAAGUCAGUUGUUCCAGAGAAACAGCUAAUUGUUACAGAUACCAUUCAGUUACCAGAAAAAGAGUCCUCCUACACUCCAGCGAGAUUGCCUAUCUCCCAACAAGCAGCCGUGGAGGUAAUGCCCGAAGACUCCAUGAUAAUUUCUGAGGUCCGAGUGAAUGAAAGCGAAGAAAAUUUGACACACAGCAAAGGACCUGACUUGACUCAUGCUGUAGAAAAAUUAGUGCAACAAGAAAGCAUCCAAGUAAAGUCUGUUCAAGCUCAAGAUAAAGAAGAAUUGUUCGAGACUUUUGCUCCUGAAAAUCGACAAGCAGACGUACAACUGUCGGCUGUAGACUCACUGGUAAUGACAGAAACUCAGCCUGAAGAGCGUGAAACUACCUUGUCAGAGGAGGAAAAACCAACAAUGAAAAAGGUUGAAACGAAUGUCUGUUGUUUGGAAACUUCUUAA
rnacentral:lncRNA from 1 species